CCUACGGGGUGCAGCAGUGGGGAAUAUUGCACAAUGGGCGCAAGCCUGAUGCAGCCAUGCCGCGUGUAUGAAGAAGGCCUUCGGGUUGUAAAGUACUUUCAGCGAGGAGGAAGGCAUUAAGGUUAAUAACCUUGGUGAUUGACGCUACUCGCAGAAGAAGCACCGGCUAACUCCGUGCCAGCAGCCGCGGUAAUACGGAGGGUGCAAGCGUUAAUCGGAAUUACUGGGCGUAAAGCGCACGCAGGCGGUCUGUCAAGUCGGAUGUGAAAUCCCCGGGCUCAACCUGGGAACUGCAUUCGAAACUGGCAGGCUAGAGUCUUGUAGAGGGGGGUAGAAUUCCAGGUGUAGCGGUGAAAUGCGUAGAGAUCUGGAGGAAUACCGGUGGCGAAGGCGGCCCCCUGGACAAAGACUGACGCUCAGGUGCGAAAGCGUGGGGAGCAAACAGGAUUAGAUACCCCGG
rnacentral:rRNA from 1 species